rnacentral:rRNA from 1 species
AAUACAUCGGAAUCUACUCUGUCGUGGGGGAGUAACGUAGGGAAACUUACGCUAAUACCGCAUACGACCUACGGUGAAAGCAGGGAUCUUCGGACCUUGCGCGAUUGAAUGAGCCGAUGUCGGAUUAGCUAGUUGGCGGGGUAAAGGCCCACCAAGGCGACGAUCCGUAGCUGGUCUGAGAGGAUGAUCAGCCACACUGGAACUGAGACACGGUCCAGACUCCUACGGGAGGCAGCAGAC